rnacentral:lncRNA from 1 species
UUGGACAGAUAAAAAGUAGAGGAAGAGAGAGGAGGAGGAAAGAAAAAAGAGUGAGAAAAAGGAAGGAGAGAAUGGGAGGCGAGGAGGAGGGAAAGAAAAAAUAUAUUCCUAGGUGUAUGGGAACAUCUGACCGACCUGAGCUGUGACCACACAAAUACAUAGGAAUGAACUACUAAAAUCCUUCCAAUAAUUGCUUUGUAGAAAUCUUGAACAGCAAAGACAAAUGACUUGAGAUGGGAAUGAAUUUGGUGUGUUAAAAUAAUUAGGAAUACAGGAUGGUUCUUAUGGCUCAAACCUGAAGGACUGACUCCUCUUUGCUGGGUGACGUGACUGCUGUGAUAGACAGGAUGCUCAGACCCCUCAGAAUUUUGCAUGUCACAGUAAAACUUUGGAUUUUAUUUAAGGAGAAAUAGAAAAGCAAACUUUAAUACGAGCACUUUUCGCCAGUCACUGUGCCUACAUCUCUAGAGGAAAGAGCAGAGAUGAAGGAUCAUGCAGAAAGACCAACUUUGAAGAGGCCUAAAAAGAGUUCCUGGACUCAGUUGCUGCUCGAUCAGGUCCAAGUCUCAAAGAUCUGUGAUUUGCCCUCAAUAAAGUCAGCAGUUGCUGU